ACGGAGGGACCGAGCGUUGUUCGGAUUUACUGGGCGUAAAGCGCACGUAGGCGGCUUUAUAAGUCAGAGGUGAAAUCCUGCAGCUCAACUGGAGGACUGCCUUUGAGACUGCAUCGCUUGAAUCUAGGAGCGGUGAGUGGAAUUCCGAGUGUAGAGGUGAAAUUCGUAGAUAUUAGGAAGAACACCAGUGGCGAAGGCGGCUCACUGGACUGGUAUUGACGCUGAGGUGCGAAAGCGUGGGGAGCAAACAG
rnacentral:rRNA from 1 species